UACAGAGGGUGCAAGCGUUGUCCGGAUUGACUGGGCGUAAAGCGCACGCAGGCGGUGGUGCGCGUGGGGUGUGAAAUCUGGCCGCUUAACGGCCAGGCGCCAUCCCAUACGGCACGACUGGAGGGCUGCAGAGGUCGAUGGAAUUGCCGGUGUAGUGGUGAAAUGCGUAGAGAUCGGCAGGAACACCCAGGGGGAAACCAGUCGACUGGGCAGCACCUGACGCUGAGGUGCGAGAGCGUGGGGAGCGAACCGG
rnacentral:rRNA from 1 species